rnacentral:rRNA from 1 species
UACGGGGGGAGCAAGCGUUGUUCGGAUUUACUGGGCGUAAAGGGUGCGUAGGCGGGUCUUUUAAGUCAGGGGUGAAAUCCUGGAGCUCAACUCCAGAACUGCCUUUGAUACUGAGGAUCUUGAGUCCGGAAGAGGCGAGUGGAAUUCCUGGUGUAGCGGUGAAAUGCGCAGAUAUCAGGAGGAACACCAAUGGCGAAGGCAGCUCGCUGGGACGGUACUGACGCUGAGGCGCGAAAGCGUGGGGAGCAAACAGG